AAAAAAAUAAGUAAAUUCCAUCAACUGUACGUUAAAUCGAGCUCUUCUUUUAGGGGAUAAAAAAGGAAGCAAUCAAGGGGUGUUCGUCUUUUGCUUUUAAUUAUAAUUAUUCCCUCUCUUAGCUUGCUUUCUCCUAAUGAGCAUUUUUUUUUUUUUUUUAAAGCUUGAAUGGGGUGGGGGGUUAAUACAGAGAGUGUGUCACAUGGUAUUGAAGAGG